rnacentral:ncRNA from 1 species
CUUAUCAAGAGAGGUUGAGGGACAGGGCCCUGUGACACCCGGCAACCGGCAUAAUAAGCACGGUGCCAAUUCCCCCACAUUAUAUGUAAAUAUAUUGUGGAAGAUGAGA